UCUUUGAGAUUAUAUGUUUGCUUCUUUCACAAUAUUCGAGCAAGAUUCGAGGACGAAUCUUUUCAAAGAAAGGGGGAAUGAUGAGAACCCAUGUAGCACAAGGAAUCCUACUUCAACAAAGAAUCCUAAUUCCACUAAAGAUCCUAAUCCAGCAAAGAGUCCUGAUGAUAUCAAGAGUUCAAGCGACAAAAGGAAUCCUAUUUCCACUAGGAAUCCUAAUCCAAUUAGAAGUCCUACCGAGAUUUAACUUUGAUUAAUUAUAUUUCAUUCAUGGAUUAAAGCCCAA
rnacentral:lncRNA from 1 species